rnacentral:tRNA from 1 species
GGGCGAUUAGCUCAGCUGGGAGAGCACCUGCCUUACAAGCAGGGGGUCGCAGGUUCAAACCCUGCAUCGCCCACCA